rnacentral:rRNA from 1 species
UACGUAGGGUGCGAGCGUUGUCCGGAAUUAUUGGGCGUAAAGGGCUCGUAGGCGGUUUGUCGCGUCGGGGAGUGAAAACCAUGAGCUUAACUCAUGGCUUGCUUUCGAUACGGGCAGACUAGAGGUAUGCAGGGGGAGAACGGAAUUCCUGGUGUAGCGGUGAAAUGCGCAGAUAUCAGGAAGAACACCCGUGGCUAAGGCGGUUCUCUAGUACGGUACUGACGCUGAGACGCGAAAGCGUGGGGAGCGAACAGG